rnacentral:rRNA from 1 species
AUGUCAAAAGCUAAUUGGAGUCCAGAAAUGACCACCGUUUUUUGCAAUCUCGCUGCUAAGAAGAAGGAAAAGGGGAAUAGGCCUGCCAAAUUUUUGAACCCUGCUGGAUACAAGAAUGUAGAAGUUGGCUUCUUUCAGCAGACCGGAAAACUUUACAGUAGGCUGCAGUUCAAAAAUAAAUGGGGCAGUUUGAGGACCUUGUAUAGGGAUUGGCUGAUCCUAAAGAAUACAUCUACUGGACUUGGUUGGAAUGAUGAAACGAACACCAUGAUUGCUGAUGACGAAUGGUGGAAGAAGGCCGAUGAAGUUCAGGACUCUCCAUUAUUUCAAGCCACUUUGGAUUACACGUGA